GGCGGACCCGUGGUGGAACAGACGUGUUCGGAACACCCGGCCGCAACCCUGGGAGACGUCCCAGG
rnacentral:misc_RNA from 1 species